rnacentral:lncRNA from 1 species
UGAGAGUGCUCCGACAGAUGGCAAAACGAAUGCGAGUUCUAAGACCAUGAAUAACACAUCUGAGAGUGGCUUACGUUACAACAAUAUAGCCAGACAAAGCGUGUCAUAUGCCAAACCCUAAAGACUCUGCUGACCGGCGAUGUUCGUCUGUUAGGCAAAAAGUUGUUUCAGAAACAAAUUUUAAAAGAUUAGUUUCAAAUUAAGAAACUAAUAAAUGACAUGCAGACAGAAUUUAGAGCCAUUCCGAUCUGGUAUAUAGAUACAACGCUAGAUCCUUUCCAGCUACGAUACAGACGGAAUCCUAGAGCCUUUCCAAUGUGCUUUUUUAACAUAAUAUUUUUUUAAUAUAUAGAUAGCUAAUAUGA